rnacentral:rRNA from 1 species
AGUGAACGCUGGCGGUAGGCCUAACACAUGCAAGUCGAACGGCAGCACAGUAAGAGCUUGCUCUUACGGGUGGCGAGUGGCGGACGGGUGAGGAAUACAUCGGAAUCUACUUUUUCUUGGGUGAUAACGUAGGGACACUUACGCUAAUACCGCAUACGACCUACGGGUGAAAGCAGGGGAUCUUCGGACCUUGCGCGAUUGAAUGAGCCUAUGUCGGAUUAGCUAGUUGGCGGGGUAAAGGCCCACCAAGGCGACGAUCCGUAGCUGGUCUGAGAGGAUGAUCAGCCACACUGGAACUGAGACACGGUCCAGACUCCUACGGGAGGCAGCAGUGGGGAAUAUUGGACAAUGGGCGAAAGCCUGAUCCAGCCAUACCGCGUGGGUGAAGAAGGUCUUCGGGUUGUAAAGCCCUUUUGUUGGGAAAGAAAAGCAGCAGGUUAAUACCCCGCUGUUCUGACGGUACCCAAAGAAUAAGCACCGGCUAACUUCGUG